AUAUUUAGAACAGGAAGUACAACGCUGUUUUGUUUUGCAGGAAGGUUUAUGUCUUUAAGGACUCACAGUUUCUUAUACGUCGAAUAUAUUAAAGAACAUUCUUGACUGAGGCAAACACCUGUUUGACAGCGUGUAAAGGAGAAUUUUGUUGUAACCUGCUCCGUGGAGGCCCGACAUCGAGUGAAGUUAUUUACUCGUCAAACUCAUCACUCGACAACCCAUCGAGCGAGUGGUACUAACACAGGUACAUUGCAGUCAAACCUGAACAGAAAGUCAAGGUACCCUGCUUGGCGACUGGGUGGUGUUGGUAAUUUCCAGCCUUGGCUUUUGGCUAAAUCCAGCAAAGUAACUCACAUCAUGGUGAUGAGCAUGCAAUAUACCAGGCAGAUAAUUAACAAAAAGAGGCACCUUGCUAUCCAAAGUUGACUAACCUACCCAAGGCUUUUCACCUUUUUGUCUAGUAUCACCUGAGAAACACUUCUUUAAGCCUUUAUAAUAAUUUUGCCAUUUUGACUGGGGAAGACCCCAAGAGGUUCUGUAAGAAAUGGCAGUGGCAGCUUCAAGCAGACAGGCUGCAGGCGAUCGCAGGAGCUGGCCUAUUCAAUCCAAACAACAGCAUUUGCUGAGAUCACGAACUUGUUUUGAGGCUGAAGAUGUUUGCAUCAUACCUGAGAGCUUUAUUGCCAAGCCUGCUGACUUUCACAAAGUUGAUUGUGUUAGUCUUAUACAGAUUAUGAAGGUAAUACAGAAAGUGGGCGAAGACCCUCUCACUGUAAGCAAAGAUAUGCCAUACCUGACCAUCGAGGACGGUGUCACAGCUUUCAGGACUCGUGGCUAGGCCCUCCUGCUAACCUGAUGGCAGAGUGUGGGCUAUACAAAAUGUCAGAAGAUUCUGCCACCUGCUAUCGCUGUGGCAUCACUUUACGAAGCCUGACACCAACGACAUGCAUCUGGACUCAUCACCGCCAGUUUGCUCCAUGCUGCCGGCACCUGCAACGUGCCAAGAGCUGUAACCCCACUCACUUGGAGGGUGGUCAACAAAGAUUCAUCCGCCACCUGUCUGCAAGUGAUGCUGAAGACUCCGGAAUCCAAGUGUCCAGAGGCUAAUUGUGGUCUGAUCCUAUCUGGCCCCUUCUAAUCAGCUGAGGGAUUGUACCCUAAACUUGAUUGUUAAAUUUUUUUCUUGCUGCUAGCACAUCUGUAUUCCUACUCCACAUUUGUAAACCUGUCCUUUUUACAAUUUUAGAAUGUGGUCCUUUGUUAACCUGCAAUCAAAGAAUAGCUGCCUGUGCUGAAUCUAGCAUGUCAUUAUUAAAUAGCUGUCAGUGUUUGAAAUUAAAUUAUCAUCAAUAAAUUGUUUGGCAUAGCAGCUGAUUAAAGAUGUCAAAAGUGGAAGAAAAAGUUAUUAAUCACUGGCAAGAUUUAGAGAAUUUCUUAAAGUUAUAAAAUUCUAUAGCUCAGCCCUUAAUGGAUCUCUCCACAGGUUCAUUCAGAAUGUACACUUACACAUGCAGUAAAAACAUCACAAUGACACAAAAUGCAAUAAUUCCCAAUUUAGAUACAAGUUUUUUUAGUGAAUACUAAAUAUUUUGUUAUAGGUUUGUAUUUUUAUGUUUAACAUUGAUAGCAAGCUAGUUAUUUGUUUAAUUAAUCAAAUGAAAUGAAGUGAUUCAUAUAAAUGAAUUCAUGUUAAUUCAGAGUGAUUUAUUAAAAUUUUUUCUACAACAA